rnacentral:misc_RNA from 1 species
GAUGAAGAACGUAGCGAAAUGCGAUAAGUAAUGUGAAUUGCAGAAUUCAGUGAAUCAUCGAAUCUUUGAACGCACAUUGCGCCCCUUGGUAUUUCGAGGGGCAUGCCUGUUCGAGCGUCAUUAUAACCCCUCAAGCUCAGCUUGGUGUUGGGGCCUGCUGCACUGGCAGCCCUUAAAAUCAGUGGCGGCGCCAUCUGGCUCUAAGCGUAGUAAUUCUUCUCGCUAUGGAGUCCUGGUGGAUGCUUGCCAUCAACCCCCAAUUUUUCUAUGGUUGACCUCGGAUCAGGUAGGGAUACCCGCUGAACUUAAGCAUAUCAAUAAGCGGAGGA